CCUCGGGGUCGCCGAAGGACGGCAGCGCGGCCUCGGUGGGCAGGUCGAUGUCGGAGGCGGCCGGGCCCGGCUCGGCCCCGGCAUCGGGGUC
rnacentral:tRNA from 1 species